rnacentral:rRNA from 1 species
CUACGGGGGGCACCAGUGAGGAAUAUUGCGCAAUGAGCGAAAGCUAGACGCAGCAACGCCGCGUGAGCGAAGAAGGCCUUCGGGUUGUAAAGCUCUUUUCUGUGUGAAGAGAAGGACGGUAGCACAGGAAUAAGUGUCGGCUAACUACGUGCCAGCAGCCGCGGUAAAACGUAGGACGCAAGCGUUAUCCGGAUUUACUGGGCGUAAAGCGCGUGCAGGCGGUCAGUUAAGUUAUGCGUGAAAGCUCCCGGCUCAACCGGGAGAGGUCGUAUAAAACUGAUUGACUUGAAGGCAGCAGAGGCGUGUGGAAUUCCAGGUGUAGUGGUGAAAUGCGUAGAUAUUUGGAGGAACACCAGUGGCGAAGGCGACACGCUGGGCUGUACUUGACGCUAAGACGCGAAAGCGUGGGUAGCGAACGGGAUUAGAUACCCCUGUAGUC